rnacentral:miRNA from 1 species
CCAAAGUCCUAGGAUUACAAGUGUUGGCCACCAGCUGGACACAGUGGCUCACGCCUGUAAUCCCAGCAUUUUGG